GGCGAGCGUUAUUCGGAAUUAUUGGGCGUAAAGGGCGCGUAGGCGGCUUUUCAAGUGACGGGUGAAAUCCCUCGGCUUAACCGAGGAACUGCCUGUCAGACUGGAAGGCUUGAGACCGGGAGAGGUGAGUGGAAUUCCCAGUGUAGCGGUGAAAUGCGUAGAUAUUGGGAGGAACACCAGUGGCGAAGGCGGCUCACUGGACCGGAACUGACGCUGAGGCGCGAAAGCGUGGGGAGCAAACAGG
rnacentral:rRNA from 1 species